rnacentral:rRNA from 1 species
UACGUAGGGUGCGAGCGUUGUCCGGAAUUACUGGGCGUAAAGGGUGCGUAGGUGGUUUCUUAAGUCAGAGGUGAAAGGCUACGGCUCAACCGUAGUAAGCCUUUGAAACUGGGAAACUUGAGUGCAGGAGAGGAGAGUGGAAUUCCUAGUGUAGCGGUGAAAUGCGUAGAUAUUAGGAGGAACACCAGUUGCGAAGGCGGCUCUCUGGACUGUAACUGACGCUGAGGCACGAAAGCGUGGGGAGCAAACAGGAUUAGAUACCCGCGUAGUUCCUGA